ensembl:snRNA U6 U6 spliceosomal RNA
GCAUUUAUUUUGGCAGCACAUACGCUAAAAUUGUAACAAUACAGAGAAGAUUAGCAUGGCCCUUGUGCAAAGAUGACACACAAAUUUGUGAAGCAUUCCAUAUAUUU